AAACAAUAAACUAAUAUGUACAAGCCUACAUAAGGCAAGAGAUUGAUGUCGGAUAAGGAGGAUAACGUGAUUAAGUGUAAAAUAAUCACAAUUUCAUGAAAUUAAUGAUGAGCUUUUUAACUUUCCUGUAGCUGCAUCAGCCUCAUUGGGUGUGAAAAGGAAGACACCUGUGCCCCUUCCACCAGAGCUGGCAUUCCUAGUCAAGGAGACUGCUGGUCCCACAAAACCAGAGAGGCCUAAGUCAACUCCAGAACCCAGCACAAGUGCUGCUUGCACCUCUGCACAAAAUGAAAAUAGACUUGAAGACAGUGCUGAAGAUGCUCAGCCCCCUGUUCCUGUU